GAUGAACGCUAGCGGGAGGCCUAACACAUGCAAGCCGAGGGGUAUUAGAGAGCUUGCUCUCUAAGAGACCGGCGUACGGGUGCGUAACACGUAUGUAACUUGCCUGUAUCACAGGGAUAGCCCGGGGAAACUCGGAUUAAUACCAGAUAACAUAAUAAGUAGCAUUACUUUUUAUUAAAAGAUUCAUCGGAUACAGAUAGACAUGCGCAGGAUUAGUUAGUUGGCGAGGUAACGGCUCACCAAGACUACGAUCCUUAGGGGGCCUGAGAGGGUGCUCCCCCACACUGGAACUGAGACACGGACCAGACUCCUAAGGGAGGCAGCAGUGAGGAAUAUUGGACAAUGGGUGAAAGCCUGAUCCAGCCAUCCCGCGUGAAGGACUACAGCCCUAUGGGUUUUAAACUUCUUUUGUAUGAGAAUAAACCUACUUACGCGUAAGUAGCUGAAGGUACCAUACGAAUAGGCAUCGGCUAACUCCGUGCCAGCCGCCGCCGUAA
rnacentral:rRNA from 1 species